rnacentral:rRNA from 1 species
ACGCUCGACACCUACGGGAGGCAGCAGUGGGGAAUAUUGCACAAUGGGGGAAACCCUGAUGCAGCGACGCCGCGUGAGCGAAGAAGUAUUUCGGUAUGUAAAGCUCUAUCAGCAGGGAAGAUAAUGACGGUACCUGACUAAGAAGCUCCGGCUAAAUACGUGCAAGCAGCCGCGGUAAUCUGAGCGGGCUGGCAAGGC